rnacentral:rRNA from 1 species
AUUGAACGCUGGCGGCAUGCCUUACACAUGCAAGUCGGGCGGCAGCACGGGUGCUUGCACCUGGUGGCGAGUGGCGAACGGGUGAGUAAUACAUCGGAACGUACCUUAUCGUGGGGGAUAACGCAGCGAAAGUUGCGCUAAUGCCGCAUACGCCCUGAGGGGGAAAGCGGGGGACCGUAAGGCCUCGCGCGAUUAGAGCGGCCGAUGUCUGAUUAGCUUGUUGGUGAGGUAAUAGCUCACCAAGGCGAUGAUCAGUAGCUGGUCUGAGAGGACGAUCAGCCACACUGGGACUGAGACACGGCCCAGACUCCUACGGGAGGCAGCAGUGGGGAAUUUUGGACAAUGGGGGCAACCCUGAUCCAGCAAUGCCGCGUGAGUGAAGAAGGCCUUCGGGUUGUAAAGCUCUUUUGUCAGGGAAGAAACAGCAGCUCUAACACAGUCUGCGAAUGACGGUACCUGAAGAAUAAGCACCGGCUAACUACGUGCCAGCAGCCGCAGUAA